rnacentral:tRNA from 8 species
CUCCUCGUAGCUCAGUUGGUUAGAGUGCCUGUCUUGGACACAGGAGGUCGUAGGUUCGAGUCCUACCGGGGUGACCA